rnacentral:lncRNA from 1 species
UUUUGGUUAAAAUGGUCGACUCACUUAAGCAAUACUUUGACAGGUAAUAUCUUUUUAAAAAAUCACUGAUGCAAAUCUGAAUAAUGGCAUUAAUUAAUUAAGAUUCCCAACUAGUGAAAUAUAAAUUGAAAUUCCAACCUUCAUGGGAAGUUUUGGAAAAGUGUUCCUUGCCAGGAUCUUCUCAUUUUUUUCUUAUCUAUUUCUGUAAUGCAGAUAUGUAAGUUGCAUGGUGCAGCCCAAGGUUGGACCACGAACUCAGACCAGCAAAGCCAGAAGUCAGGUUGUCAACUGUUUUUGAAGUGAGCUUCUAUGGAACAUGCACUCCUGUACUUGGCAGAGCAUUCUGCACAAACUAAACUCUCAGUUCAUGGUAGAUACAUUGAUGUUGAGCAAAUGAGGUAAUAUACAUCACCCAGAGGGAAACCGCAAAUACACUUGUCACCAUUCACUCAUCAUAAAGACAACUACAGAUAAAUGGAUAGUAGUCUUAAAUUUUAUUAAUUGAUGUUAUAAGUGAGCCAGUUUCAUGCUAUGUUAAUUUCAAAUAACAGGUAAUAAGCAGAAAAAUAAGAAAAAUAAAAUAUGACUAGCAUAAAACA